GCCUGGGUGGCUCAGUUGAGCGUCUGACUUCAGAUCAGGUCAUGAUCUCAUGGUCUGUGGGUUCAAGCCCCACAUUGGGCU
rnacentral:tRNA from 1 species